rnacentral:rRNA from 1 species
GUACACUCCUGCGGGAGGCAGCAGUGGGGAAUUUUGGACAAUGGGCGAAAGCCUGAUCCAGCAAUGCCGCGUGUGUGAAGAAGGCCUUCGGGUUGUAAAGCACUUUUGUCCGGAAAGAAAUCCUUGGCUCUAAUACAGUCGGGGGAUGACGGUACCGGAAGAAUAAGCACCGGCUAACUACGUGCCAGCAGCCGCGGUAAUACGUAGGGUGCGAGCGUUAAUCGGAAUUACUGGGCGUAAAGCGUGCGCAGGCGGUUUGCUAAGACCGAUGUGAAAUCCCCGGGCUCAACCUGGGAACUGCAUUGGUGACUGGCAUGCUAGAGUAUGGCAGAGGGGGGUAGAAUUCCACGUGUAGCAGUGAAAUGCGUAGAGAUGUGGAGGAAUACCGAUGGCGAAGGCAGCCCCCUGUGCCAAUACUGACGCUCAUGCACGAAAGCGUGGGGAGCAAACAGGAUUAGAUACCCUUGUAGUCCCAUGAU